CUGGUGGCGGACGGCUGCUGCUGCGUCUCCUGGUCACCCAGGACGACUGGACCCAAAGCAGUCAACAAGCUGAGAUAAAACAGGAGCCGUGGCAGAUCCAUUGUCUCUGAGGAAAACCAACACCUCACGAGUGACGUCAGCGUGACCUUCCCUUCUACUGCUCUAAGAAGCCUGAAGACCUCACGGCUCACACCUACCGCUCUAAGCCCUCCAGCCACGCCACCAGCCGCCUUCAAGUCUGGACCUCCUCCAUCUACUACUAUCUUCAUCCCUGGAGAAACAAUAAACUCUUUCUCAUCAAAAUACUUACCUAUCUUCCUUCUGGGUUACAGCAUCUGGGUCCCUCCCGCCAUGAGCUCCAUGACAGACACACUGGACAGGUUGCCAAUCUGUCCCAGGGCAAUGGUUAUGUAUUAUGUGGUUAUAUAAAAAAACUUAAAAUCAGUAAAAAAAUAACAAAGAAAUAUUCUAGAAAUAUCCCUUGAGAAACUUAAAUACAGCAGCUGGACUCUUUUUCUUUUUUUUUCCGUUGGACUCAUUUUCUUGAUGUUUCACACCAGCCUGCUGUCCAGAUCUUUGCAACUUUUUGGUUGUUUGUGAUCUAUUCAAUGUGUUCCCUGGCUUCGCCCAACAGACCUGAAAGGCUUCUGUGACCCCCAAAGGGUUUAAAUUUGUUUAGAAGAUUGAUAGAUGAAUUGAUAAAAGCAUCAUUUUGAAUGA